rnacentral:lncRNA from 1 species
GGAGACAGGCUUCUGACGACGCAAGGCUCACAGCCAGGCCUGCGCUGGGAGGAGCCUCCCCUUCUCGCUCCUGUCCCUGUUGGGUCAGAGUGCCAGCUUUCCUCUUCCCUCUCCUCGGGGUCUUUUCGGCCCCUCAGUCCCCAUAUUCCUCUGCCCUAGCUCCCAAGAUCCCACAAGAGACAGACUGGAUUCUCUCUGGCCUAGAGUGCCACCUUCCUGAAAGUCAGAAUCUGAUUGGUCCAGCUGGAUCAGGUGUCCUCUCCCUGUCCAACCAUCAAUGCCCAGAGGGAUUACGGAGAGAAAAACAUGGCUCCCACCAUCCCAUUGCUGUGUCUGCUUGGGCCACGGGAGAGGGAACCUUGUGAGCUGGGCAGAAUCCACCCUGUAGAGACUGCCUCUGGAGCUUGAGGAAGAGAUGACUGAAGCCAUUACAGAAGCAGCAGUAGACUCAAGUGAGGAGGUGUCAGAGGAAAGAGACGACCUGGGGCCUCUUGAAUUACAUGACAGUGGUAAGAAUGUCAUCCACAUUUCUGCUUUCCUGCCCCAUCUCAGACACUAACUAUUUGACUGCAGCCCCAGCCUAGGUCUCCCUUUCUCCAUCUGCACAGUGGACAUCAUACCACACAUGAAGCUGGAGCUGUGCAGGUGGAGGCAAGGCCAGGGACACAAGGGCACCUCCUGUCAUGGUCAUUUCCACACUGCACCUGGGUGGCGUUUGUUUUCAUAGGUACCUUUCAACAAGUCGUGAACCUCCUGGACAUCAUUGACAGCGAGUCAGCAAAGACUGACACGACAGGGGCAGGCCUUGAUAUGUGGAAGACCCUGGCCUCGGUGAUAAUCACAGAGAAGGCCACCACUGAGCCUUCUGUGGUGAUAAACACUCUCAUCCACUGCCUGCAGGUGCCAAAGAUUUCCACCCAGUGCAAGGUCAACAUUUACAACAUCCUCCAGGACAUCAUCCAGCAGGAGGGGGAGCUGGAG